AAAUGAAAUAGCCUUUCAAGACGUCAUAAUUAUUUGGACUAGGGAUACCCAUAUUAACAACAUCACUCCUAAAGCAAAUAAGAUCUUUUGCUUUUUAAAAAGAAACUUAAAGGUAAAUCAGGAAGAAGCAAAAAGUUUGGCUUACAAUUCUAGUGUACUAUCAAACCUAGAAUAAAUUAUUAAUGUUCUUUAGUUUGGUCUUCUAACACCCAAAAACAAAAAAGGUUGAAAAAGUACAAAGAUAUAGGCAGCACGCUAUGUCACUUCCAUGAUCGACCAUCUUAAAUGGAAGUCGCUUAAAACUCGCAGAAACAUCAAUCGAGUAACAAUGAUGUACAAAAUAACACAAGCUUAUAGCAGUAGAUCCAAACCUUUACCUUUCACCACAGCCAGUUAAAAACACCAGAUUCACCAAUUCACUACAAUAUCAAACAUUCAGUACCAGAACAGAUUACUUCAAGUACAGCUUUUUCCCAUUCGCAGUUGUACUGUGGAAUUUACUUCAACAAAACAUCAUCAGCGUUAAUUUUUGGAUGAGUUUGAAAUACUGAUCCAAAGUCAGUACAUUUAGAAAUCUACCCAGUUUGUAAAAUGUAGAUAAAAGUUGUUGACAUUUUAUAGAUAAGUUAUAAAUCUAUAUUAGUUUGUGACAAAUGAAAGAAAAAAUAUUUGGAACUAUUAAUAAUAUUUGAUUAUAAUUUGAAAAUAGAUAUACACUGUAUUACAUCAUAUCUAAUUUUAGAGAACUAUUAAUCAUAUCAAAUGUUUUUUUCAUCAUGCUUAUACGAUAUUGAUUGAUAAUUGGUAUAUAGUUUUAUCAUGACAAGUUACAGAUCAAGUUCAAAUUUUUGUUUCGGUCUAAUAAUUUUGUGCAGAGUUAUGGUCUUUGGACUUGAAAAAUUCACUCAUAUAAUCAGUUUUCCACACUGUUUUUAGUCAUGCUUGAAGAUAUUGACAUGAUAUUUACUUUUUGUUUACACCAUGGCAAGUUAUAUAACAAGUUAGCAUUUUGUUCCAGUAUAAUGAAUUUUUAUACGACCGCAAAAAAAUUUUUGUGGUCGUAUAUUGGUAUGACGUUGGCGUCGUCGUCGUCGUCCGGCGUCGUCCAAAGACACAUUGGUUUUCGCACUCUAACUUUAGUUUAAGUGAAUGGAUCUCUAUGAAAUUUUACCACAAGGUUCAAUACCACAAAAGAAAGGUUGGGAUUGAUUUUGGGGGUUAUGGUACCAACAGUAAAGGAAUUAGGGGCGAAAAAGGGGCAUUUUUGUAACUUCCAGACAUAACUUGUGUGUUAGUGUAUGGAUCUCUGUGACAUUGUACCACAAGGUUCCAUAUCACUAAAGGAAUGCUGGGAUUGAUUUUGGGGGUUAUUGCCUCAAAAUUUUAGGAAUUAGGGGCCAAAAAAGGGGCAAAAAACAAGCAUUUUUCUAGUUUCAUGACAAUAACUUGUGUGUAAGUGUAUGGAUCUUUCUGAAAUUGUACUACAAGGUUCCAUAUCACAAAGGGAAAGCUGGAAUUGAGUUUGGGGGUAAUUGCCGAAACGUUUAGGAAUUGGGGGCCAAAAAGGGGCCAAAAAUAAGCAUUUUUCUAGUUUCCAGACAAUAACUUGUGUUCAAGUGUAUGGAUCUCUCUGAAAUUGUACUGCAAGGUACCAUACCACAAAGGGAAGGCUGGGAUUGAUGAUGGGGGUAAUUGCCUCAAUAUUUUAGGAAUUAGGGGCCAGAAAGGGGCAAAAAACAAGCAUUUUUCUAGUUUCAGGACAAUAACUUGUGUGUAAGUGUAUGGAUCUUUCUGAAAUUGUACUACAAGGUUCCAUAUCACAAAGGGAAAGCUGGGUUUGAGUUUGGGGGUAAUUGCCCUAAACGUUUAGGAAUUUGGGGCCAAAAAGGGGCCAAAAAACACAUUUUUAUACGACCGCAAAAAAAUUUUUGUGGUCGUAUAUUGCUAUGACGUUGGCGUCGUCCGAAGACACUUGGUUUUCGCACUCUAACUUUAGUUUAAGUGAAUGGAUCUUUAUGAAAUUUUACCGCAAGGUUCAAUACCACAAAAGGAAGGUUGGGAUUGAUUUUGGGGGUUAUGGUAAUAACAGUAAAGGAAUUAGGGGCCAAAAAGGGGCCAAAAAUUCUCUGACAUUGUACCACAAGGUUCCAUAUCACUAAAGGAAUGCUGGGAUUGAUUUUGGGGGUAAUUGCCUCCAAAUUUUAGGAAUUAGGGGCCAAAAAAGGGGCAAAAAACAAGCAUUUUUCUAGUUUCAUGACAAUAACUUGUGUGUAAGUGUAUGGAUCUUUCUGAAAUUGUACUACAAGGUUCCAUAUCACAAAGGGAAAGCUGGGUUUGAGUUUGGGGGUAAUUGCCCUAAACGUUUAGGAAUUUGGGGCCAAAAAGGGGCCAAAAAACACAUUUUUUUCUAGUUUCCAGACAAUAACUUGUGUUCAAGUGUAUGGAUCUCUCUGAAAUUGUACUGCAAGGUACCAUACCACAAAGGGAAGGCUGGGAUUGAGUUUGGGGGUGAUGAAUCAUAAUGGGGGUUCAAAAAAUUUUGGGGGGGGAUUUAUUUUUUUUUCCUUUUUUUCUUUUUUUCCUUUUUUGUUUCUUUUAAAAUUUUCCAUUUUAAGUUGGUUAUUUCUGAUUUAUAUUUAAAAUCAAAUAAUAAUGAUAUGGUAGGAGAUACACACCAAACAGGAUGUGUAAAUUAUUAUAUAAUAAGUAUUGUGCAAUAGCAAGAAAUUUUCAAUUGCACAGUAUUGCACAAUAGCAAGAAAUCUUCAAUUGCACAGUAUUGCGCAAUAGCAAGAAAUCUUCAAUUGCACAGUAUUGCGCAAUAGCAAGAAAUAUUCAAUUGCACAGUAUUGCGCAAUAGCAAGAAAUAUCCAAUAGCACAAUAUUGCGCAAUAGCAAGAAAUUGUCAAUUGUACAGUAUUGCGCAAUAGCAAGAAAUAUUUAAUAGCACAGGAUUGUGCAAAAGAAGAUACUUCCUAUAAGUUGCUUAUUUCUUGACCAAUUUCAAUGGGGUUUUAUUCUUGAUUUCAUGGGGUUCUUUAAUAUGCUGAAUCUAACCGUGUAUUUAGUUUUUGGAUUUUGGGCCCCGUUUUUAAAUUGGUCCACAUUGAGGUCCAAAGGGUCCAAAAUUAAACUUUGUUUGAUUUCAUCAAAAAUUGAAUUAUUGGGGUUCUUUGAUAUGCCGAAUCUAACUGUGUAUUUAGAUUCUUAAAUUUUGGUUCCGUUUUCAAAUUGGUCUACAUUAAGGUCCAAAGGGUCCAAAAUUAAACUUAGUUUGAUUUUAACAAAAAUUGAAUUCUUAGGGUUCUUUGAUAUGCUGAAUCUAAACAUGUAUUUAGAUUUUUGAUUAUGGGCCCAGUUUUCAAGUUGGUCCAAAUCGGGGUCCAAAAUUAAACUUUGUUUGAUUUCAACAAAAAUUGAAUAUAUGGGGUUCUUUGAUAUGCUGAAUCUAACCAUGUAUUUAGAUUUUUGAUUUUUGGGCCCCGUUAUCAACUUUGUCCACAUUGAGGUCAAAAGGGUCCAAAAUUAAACUUUGUUUGAUUUCAUCAAAAAUUGAAUUAUUGGGGUUCUUUGAUAUGCCGAAUCUAACCGUGUAUUUAGAUUCUUAAUUUUUGGUUCCGUUUUCAAAUUGGUCUACAUUAAGGUCCAAAGGGUCCAAAAUUUAACUUAGUUUGAUUUUAACAAAAAUUGAAUUCUUAGGGUUCUUUGAUAUGCUGAAUCUAAACAUGUAUUUAGAUUUUUGAUUAUGGGCCCAGUUUUCAAGUUGGUCCAAAUCGGGGUCCAAAAUUAAACUUUGUUUGAUUUCAACAAAAAUUGAAUAUAUGGGGUUCUUUGAUAUGCUGAAUCUAACCAUAUAUUUAGAUUUUUGAUUUGUGGGCCCCGUUAUCAACUUUGUCCACAUUGAGGUCAAAAGGGUCCAAAAUUAAACUUUGUUUGAUUUCAUCAAAAAUUGAAUUCUUGGGGUUCUUUGAUAUGCUGAAUCUAACCAUGUAUUUAGAUUUUGGAUAUUGGACCAUAAUAGGUGAAUGUCCAAUUUAAAAUUUUUAAGUUCUUAGACCACAUUCAAUCUGUGUUAGAAACCUAUGCUGUGUCAAAUAUUUAAUCACAAUCCAAAUCCAAAGCUGUAUCAAGCUUGAAUGUUGUGUCCAUACUUCCCCCAACUGUUCAGGGUUCGACCUCUGCGGUCGUAUCAAGCUGCGCCCUGCGGAGCAUUUUAUUCUAGUUUCCAGACAAUAACUUGUGUUCAAGUUUAUGGAUCUCUCUGAAAUUGUACUGCAAGGUACCAUACCACAAAGGGAAGGCUGGGAUUGAGUUUGGGGGUGAUGAAUCAUAAGGGGGUUCCAAAAAUUUGGGGGGGGGGGGGGGGUUUCCUUUUUUUUUUUUUUUUUCCUUUUUUUUUUCUUUAAAAUUUUCCAUUUUAAGUUGGUUAUUUCUGAUUUAUAUUUAAAAGCAAAUAAUAAUGAUAUGGUAGGAGAUACACACCAAACAGGAUGUGUAAAUUAUUAUAUAAUAAGUAUUGUGCAAUAGCAAGAAAUUUUCAAUUGUACAGUAUUGCACAAUAGCAAGAAAUCUUCAAUUGCACAGUAUUGUGCAAUAGCAAGAAAUCUUCAAUUGCACAGUAUUGUGCAAUAGCAAGAAAUAUCCAAUAGCACAAUAUAGCGCAAUAGCAAGAAAUUGUCAAUUGUACAGUAUUGCGCAAUAGCAAGAAGUAUUUAAUUGCACAGUAUUGUGCAAAAGAAGAUACUUCGUAUAAAUUGCUUCUUUCUUGACCAAUUUCAAUGGGGUUUUAUUCUUGAAUUCUUGGGGUUCUUUAAUAUGCUGAAUCUAACUGUGUAUUUAGUUUUUGAAUUUUGGGCCCCGUUUUUAAAUUGGUCCACAUUGAGGUCCAAAGGGUCCAAAAUUAAACUUUGUUUGAUUUUACAAAAAUUGAAUAUAUGGGGUUCUUUGAUAUGCUGAAUCUAAACAUGUAUUUAGAUUUUUGAUUUUUGGCCCAGUUUUCAAGUUGGUCCAAAUUGGGGUCCAAAAUUAAACUUUGUUUGAUUUCAACAAAAAUUGAAUAAAUGGGGUUCUUUGAUAUGCUGAAUCUAACCAUGUAUUUAGAUUUUUUUUUGGUGGGCCCCGCUAUCAAGUUGGUUCAUAUUGAGGUCAAAAGGGUCCAAAAUUAAACUUUGUUUGAUUUCAUCAAAAAUUGAAUUAUUGGGGUUCUUUGAUAUGCCAAAUCUAACCGUGUAUUUAGAUUUUUAAUUUUGGGUCCUGUUUUUUAGAUUGGUCUACAUUAAGGUCAAAAGGGUCCAAAAUUAAACUUAGUUUGAUUUUAACAAAAAUUGAAUUCUUGGGGUUCUUUGAUAUGCUGAAUCUAAACAUGUGUUUAGAUUUUUGAUUAUGGGCCCAGUUUUCAAGUUUGUCCAAGUUGGGGUCCAAAAUUAAACUUUGUUUGAUUUCAAUAAAAAUUGAAUAUAUGGGGUUCUUUGAUAUGCUGAAUCUAACCAUGUAUUUUGAUUUUGGACAUUGGACCAUAAUAGGUAAAUUAAAAAAAAUCAAGUUCUUAGACCACAUUCUUUCUGUGUCAGAAACCUAUGCUGUGUCAAAUAUUUAAUCACAAUCCAAAUUCAGAGCUGUAUCAAGCUUGAAUGUUGUGUCCAUACUUGCCCCAACUGUUCAGGGUUCGACCUCUGCGGUUGUAUCAAGCUGCGCCCAGCGAAGAAUUUUAUUCUAGUUUCCAGUCAAUAACUUGUGUUCAAGUGUAUGUCUCUCUGAAAUUGUACUGCAAGGUACCAUACCACAAAGGGAAGGCUGGGAUUGAUGAUGGGGGUAAUUGCCUCAAUAUUUUAGGAAUUAGGGGCAAAAAACAAGCAUUUUUGUAGUUUCAGGACAAUAACUUGUGUGUAAGUGUAUGGAUCUUUAUGAAAUUGUACUACAAGGUUCCAUAUCAUAAAGGGAAAGCUGGGUUUGAGUUUAGGGGUAAUUGCCCUAAACGUUUAGGAAUUUGGGGCCAAAAAGGGGCCAAAAAUAAGCAUUUUUCUAGUUUCCAGACAAUAACUUGUGUUCAAGUGUAUGGAUCUCUCUGAAAUUGUACUGCAAGGUACCAUACCACAUAGGGAAGGCUGGGAUUGAGUUUGGGGGUGAUGAAUCAUAAGGGUGUUCAAAAAAUUUGUUGGGGGGGGAUUUUUUUUUUUUCCUUUUUUCUUUCUUGUAAAAUUUUCCUUUAAGUUGGUUAUUUCUGAUUUAUAUUUAAAAGCAAAUAAUAAUGAUAUGGUAGGAGAUACACACCAAACAGGAUGUGUAAAUUAUUAUAUAAUAAGUAUUGUGCAAUAGCAAGAAAUUUUCAAUUGCACAGUAUUGUACAAUAGCAAGAAAUCUUCAAUUGCACAGUAUUGCGCAAUAGCAAGUAAUCUUCAAUUGCACAGUAUUGCGCAAUAGCAAGAAAUAUCCAAUAGCACAAUAUUGCGCAAUAGCAAGAAAUUGUCAAUUGUACAGUAUUGCGCAAUAGCCAGAAAUAUUCAAUUGCACAGUAUUGUGCAAAAGAAGAUACUUCCUAUAAAUUGCUUAUUUCUUGACCAAUUUCAAUGGGGUUUUAUUCUUGAACUCUUGGGGUUCUUUAAUAUGCUGAAUCUAACCGUGUAGUAAGUUUUUGGAUUUUGGGCCCCGUUUUUAAAUUGGUCCACAUUGAGGUCCAAAGGGUCCAAAAUUAAACUUUGUUUGAUUUCAUCAAAAAUUGAAUUAUUGGGGUUCUUUGAUAUGCCGAAUCUAACCGUGUAUUUAGAUUCUUAAUUUUUGGUUCCGUUUUCAAAUUGGUCUACAUUAAGGUCCAAAGGGUCCAAAAUUAAACUUAGUUUGAUUUUAACAAAAAUUGAAUUCUUAGGGUUCUUUGAUAUGCCGAAUCUAAACAUGUAUUUAGAUUUUUGAUUAUGGGCCCAGUUUUCAAAUUGGUCCAAAUCAGGGUCCAAAAUUAAACUUUGUUUGAUUUCAACUAAAAUUGAAUAUAUGGGGUUCUUUGAUAUGCUGAAUCUAAACAUGUAUUUUGAUUUUGGACAUUGGACCAUAAUAGGUAUAUUAAAAAAAUUCAAGUUCUUAGACCACAUUCUUUCUGUGUCAGAAACCUAUGCUGUGUCAAAUAUUUAAUCACAAUCCAAAUUCAGAGCUGUAUCAAGCUUGAAUGUUGUGUCCAUACUUGCCCCAACUGUUCAGGGUUCGACCUCUGCGGUCGUAUCAAGCUGCGCCCAGCGAAGCAUUUUAUUCUAGUUUCCAGACAAUAACUUGUGUUCAAGUGUAUGUCUCUCUGAAAUUGUACUGCAAGGUACCAUACCACAAAGGGAAGGCUGGGAUUGAUGAUGGGGGUAAUUGCCUCAAUAUUUUAGGAAUUAGGGGCAAAAAACAAGCAUUUUUGUAGUUUCAGGACAAUAACUUGUGUGUAAGUGUAUGGAUCUUUAUGAAAUUGUACUAUAAGGUUCCAUAUCACAAAGGGAAAGCUGGGUUUGAGUUUGGGGGUAAUUGCCCUAAACGUUUAGGAAUUUGGGGCCAAAAAGGGGCCAAAAAUAAGCAUUUUUCUAGUUUCCAGACAAUAACUUGUGUUCAAGUGUAUGGAUCUCUCUGAAAUUGUACUGCAAGGUACCAUACCACAAAGGGAAGGCUGGGAUUGAGUUUGGGGGUGAUGAAUCAUAAGGGUGUUCAAAAAAUUUGUUGGGGGGGAUUUUUUUUUUUUUCCUUUUUUCUUUCUUGUAAAAUUUUCCAUUUUAAGUUGGUUAUUUCUGAUUUAUAUUUAAAAGCAAAUAAUAAUGAUAUGGUAGGAGAUACACACCAAACAGGAUGUGUAAAUUAUUAUAUAAUAAGUAUUGUGCAAUAGCAAGAAAUUUUCAAUUGCACAGUAUUGUACAAUAGCAAGAAAUCUUCAAUUGCACAGUAUUGCGCAAUAGCAAGUAAUCUUCAAUUGCACAGUAUUGCGCAAUAGCAAGAAAUAUCCAAUAGCACAAUAUUGCGCAAUAGCAAGAAAUUGUCAAUUGUACAGUAUUGCACAAUAGCCAGAAAUAUUCAAUUGCACAGUAUUGUGCAAAAGAAGAUACUUCCUAUAAAUUGCUUAUUUCUUGACCAAUUUCAAUGGGGUUUUAUUCUUGAAUUCUUGGGGUUCUUUAAUAUGCUGAAUCUAACCGUGUAGUAAGUUUUUGGAUUUUGGGCCCCGUUUUUAAAUUGGUCCACAUUGAGGUCCAAAAGGUCCAAAAUUAAACUUUGUUUGAUUUCAUCAAAAAUUGAAUUAUUGGGGUUCUUUGAUAUGCCGAAUCUAACCGUGUAUUUAGAUUCUUAAUUUUUGGUUCCGUUUUCAAAUUGGUCUACAUUAAGGUCCAAAGGGUCCAAAAUUUAACUUUGUUUGAUUUCAUCAAAAAUUGAAUUAUUGGGGUUCUUUGAUAUGCCGAAUCUAACCGUGUAUUUAGAUUCUUAAUUUUUGGUUCCGUUUUCAAAUUGGUCUACAUUAAGGUCAAAAGGGUCCAAAAUUAAACUUAGUUUGAUUUUAACAAAAAUUGAAUUUUUAGGGUACUUUGAUAUGCUGAAUCUAAACAUGUAUUUAGAUUUUUGAUUAUGGGCCCAGUUUUCAAGUUGGUCCAAAUCGGGGUCCAAAAUUAAACUUUGUUUGAUUUCAACAAAAAUUGAAUAUAUGGGGUUCUUUGAUAUACUGAAUCUAACCAUGUAUUUUGAUUUUGGACAUUGGACCAUAAUAGGUAAAUUAAAAAAAUUGAAGUUCUUAGACCACAUUCUUUCUGUGUCAGAAACCUAUGCUGUGUCAAAUAUUUAAUCACAAUCCAAAUUCAGAGCUGUAUCAAGCUUGAAUGUUGUGUCCAUACUUGCCCCAACUGUUCAGGGUUCGACCUCUGGGGUCGUAUCAAGCUGCGCCCAGCGAAGCAUUUUAUUAGGAAUUAAGGGCAAAAAACAAGCAUUUUUCUAGUUUCAUGACAAUAACUUGUGUGUUAGUGUAUGGAUCUCUCUGACAUUGUACCACAAGGUUCCAUAUCACAAAAGGAAAGCAACAAUUGAGUUUGGGGGUAAUUGCCCGAAACGUUUAGGAAUAAGGGGCCAAAAAUAAGCAUUUUUCUAGUUUCCAGACAAUAUCUUGUGUUCAAGUUCAUGGAUCUCUCUGAAAUUGUACUGCAAGGUACCAUACCACAAAGGAAAGUCUGGGAUUGAUUUUGGGGGUAAUUGUCUCAAAAUUUUAGGAAUUAGGGGCCAUAAAGGGGCAAACAAACAAGCAUUUUUCUAGUUUCAUGACAAUAACUUGUGUGUAAGUGUAUGGAUCUUUAUGAAAUUGUACUGCAAGGUUCCAUAUCACAAAGGGAAAGCUGGGUUUGAGUUUGGGGGUAAUUGCCCUAAACGUUUAGGAAUUUCCAACCAUCAUGGCCAACUUGGUUAAAAAUAGAACUUAGGGGGAAAAUGCAGUUUUUAUACGACCGCAAAAAUUAAAAAUUUUUUGGUCGUAUAUUAGUAUGACGUUGGCAUCGUCGUCGUCGUCGUCGUCCGAAGACACAUUGGUUUUCGCACUCUAACUUUAGUUUAAGUGAAUGGAUCUCCAUGAAAUUUUACCAUAAGGUUCAAUACCACGAAAGGAAGGUUGGGAUUGAUUUUGGGGGUUAUGGUACCAACAGUUAAGGAAUUAGGGGCCAAAAAGGGGCCAAAAAUAAGCAUUUUAUAACUUUCAGACAAUAACUUGUGUGUAAGUGUAUGGAUCUCUCUGACAUUGUACCACAAGGUUCCAUAUCACAAAGGGAAGGCUGUAAUUGAUUUUGGGGGUAAUUGCCUCAAAAUUUUAGGAAUAAGGGGCCAAAAAAGGGGCAAAAAACAAGCAUUUUUCUAGUUUCAUGACAAUAACUUGUGUGUAAGUGUUUGGAUAUUUCUGAAAUUGUACCACAAGGUUUCAUAUCACAAAGGGAAAGCUGGAAUUGAGUUCGGGGGUAAUUGCCUGAAACGUUUAGGAAUUGGGGGCCAAAAAGGGGCCAAAAAUAAGCAUUUUUCUAGUUUCAAGACAAUAACUUGUGUUCAAGUGUAUGGAUCUCUCUGAAAUUGUACUGCAAGGUACCAUACCACAAAGGGAAGGCUGGGAUUGAGUUUGGGGGUGAUGAAUCAUAAGGGGGUUCAAAAAAUUUGGGGGGGGGGAUUUUUUUUUUUUCUUUUUUUUUCUUUUUUUUCUUUUUUUUUUCUUUUAAAAUUUUCCAUUUUAAGUUGGUUAUUUCUGAUUUAUAUUUAAAAGCAAAUAAUAAUGAUAUGGUAGGAGAUACACACCAAACAGGAUGUGUAAAUUUUUAUAUAAUAAGUAUUGUGCAAUAGGAAGAAAUUUUCAAUUGCACAGUAUUGCACAAUAGCAAGAAAUCUUCAAUUGCACAGUAUUGCGCAAUAGCAAGAAAUCUUCAAUUGCACAGUAUUGCGCAAUAGCAAGAAAUAUCCAAUAGCACAAUAUUGCGCAAUAGCAAGAAAUUGUCAAUUGUACAGUAUUGGGCAAUAGCAAGAAAUAUUCAAUUGCACAGUAUUGUGCAAAAGAAGAUAUAUACUUCUUAUAAAUUGCUUAUUUCUUGAUCAAUUUCAAUGGGGUUUUAUUCUUGAAUUCUUGGGGUUCUUUAAUAUGCUGAAUAUAACCGUGUAUUAAGUUUUUGGAUUUUGGGCCCCGUUUUUAAAUUGGUCCACAUUGAGGUCCAAAGGGUCCAAAAUUUAACUUUGUUUGAUUUCAUCAAAAAUUGAAUUAUUGGGGUUCUUUGAUAUGCCGAAUCUAACCGUGUAUUUAGAUUCUUAAUUUUUGGUUCCGUUUUCAAAUUGGAGUACAUUAAGGUCCAAAGGGUCCAAAAUUAAACUUAGUUUGAUUUUAACAAAAAUUGAAUGUUUAGUGUUCUUUGAUAUGCUGAAUCUAAACAUGUAUUUAGAUUUUUGAUUAUGGGCCCAGUUUUCAAGUUGGUCCAAAUCGGGGUCCAAAAUUAAACUUUGUUUGAUUUCAACAAAAAUUGAAUAUAUGGGGUUCUUUGAUAUGCUGAAUCUAACCAUGUAUUUAGAUUUUUGGGCCCCGUUAUCAACUUUGUCCACAUUGAGGUCAAAAGGGUCCAAAAUUAAACUUUGUUUGAUUUCAUCAAAAAUUGAAUUCUUGGGGUUCUUUGAUAUGCCGAAUCUAACCGUGUAUUUAGAUUCUUAAUUUUUGGUUCCGUUUUCAAAUUGGAGUACAUUAAGGUCCAAAGGGUCCAAAAUUAAACUUAGUUUGAUUUUAACAAAAAUUGAAUGUUUAGUGUUCUUUGAUAUGCUGAAUCUAAACAUGUAUUUAGAUUUUUGAUUAUGGGCCCAGUUUUCAAGUUGGUCCAAAUUGGGGUCCAAAAUUAAACUUUGUUUGUUUUCAACAAAAAUUGAAUAUAUGGGGUUCUUUGAUAUGCUGAAUCUAACCAUGUAUUUAGAUUUUUGGGCCCCGUUAUCAACUUUGUCCACAUUGAGGUCAAAAGGGUCCAAAAUUAAACUUUGUUUGAUUUCAUCAAAAAUUGAAUUCUUGGGGUUCUUUGAUAUGCUGAAUCUAACCAUGUAUUUAGAUUUUGGAUAUUGGACCAUAAUAUGUGAAUGUGCAAUUUAAAAUUUUUAAGUUCUUAGACCACAUUCAUUCUGUGUCAGAAACCUAUGCUGUGUCAAAUAUUUAAUCACAAUCCAAAUUCAGAGCUGUAUCAAGCAUGAAUGUUGUGUCCAUACUUGCCCCAACUGUUCAGGGUUCGACCUCUGCGGUCGUAUCAAGCUGCGCCCUGCGGAGCAUUUUAUUGGUUUAUAUUUCUGAAACUAAAGCAUUUAGAGCAAAUCUGACAGGUGGCAAAAAUGUUCAUCAGAUUUAGAUUUCAGACGAAUCCGACAACCUGUUGUUGGGUCGCUGCCCCUUAGUUAGUAAUUUUACAAAAAUUUUGCAGUUUUUAUACGACCGCAAAAAAAUUUUUGUGGUCGUAUAUUGGUAUGACGUUGGCGUCGUCGGCGUCAUCGUCGUCGUCCGAAGACACAUUAGUUUUCGCACUCUUAACUUAAGUUUAAGUUAAUGGAUCUCAAUGAAAUUUAACCAUAAGGUUCAAUACCACAAAAGGAAGGUUGGGAUUGAUUUUGGGGGUUAUGGUACCAACAGUUAAGGAAUUAAGGGCCAAAAAGGGGCCAAAAAUAAGCAUUUUUGUAACUUCCAGACAUAACUUGUGUGUAAGUCUAUGGAUCUCUCUGACAUUGUACCAAAAGUUUCCAUAUCACAAAGGGAAUGCUGGGAUUAAUUUUGGGGGUAAUUGCCUCAGAAUUGUAGGAAUUGGGGGCCAAAAACAAGCAUUUUUCUAGUUUCAUGACAAUAACUUGUGUGUAAGUCUAUGGAUCUCUCUGAAAUUGUAUCACAAGGUUCCAUAUCAUAAAGGGAAUGCUGGGAUUGAUUUUGGGGGUAAUUGCCUCAGAAUUGUAGGAAUUGGGGGCCAACAAGGGGCAAAAAACAAGCAUUUUUCUAGUUUCAUGACAAUAACUUGUGUGUAAGUGUAUGGAUCUUUAUGAAAUUGUACUACAAGGUUCCAUAUCACACAGGGAAAGCUGGAAUUGAGUUUCGGGGUAAUUGCCCAAAAAGUUUAGGAAUUAGGGGCCAAAAAGGGGCCCAAAAUAAGCAUUUUUCUAGUUUCCAGACAAUAACUUGUGUUCAAGUGUAUGGUUCUCUCUGAAAUUGUACUGCAAGGUACCAUACCACAAAGGGAAGGCUGGGAUUGAUUUUGGGGGUAAUUCCCUCAAAAUUUUAGUAAUUAGGGGCCAUAAAAGGGCAAAAAAACAAGCAUUUUCUAGUUUCAGGACAAUAACUUGUGUGUAAGUGUAUGGAUCUUUAUGAAAUUGUACUGCAAGGUUCCAUAUCACAAAUGGAAAGCUGGGUUUGAGUUUGGGGAUAAUUGCCCUAAACGUUUAGGAAUUUGGGGCCAAAAAGGGGCCAAAAAACACAUUUUUCUAGUUUCCAGACAAUAACUUGUGUUCAAGUGUAUGGAUCUCUCUGAAAUUGUACUGCAAGGUACCAGACCACAAAGGGAAGGCUGGGAUUGAGUUUGGGGGUGAUGAAUCAUAAGGGGGUUCAAAAAAUUUGGGGGGGGGGGGAUUUUUUUUUUUUUCCUUUUUAUUUCUUUUAAAAUUUUCCAUUUUAAGUUGGUUAUUUCUGAUUUAUAUUUAAAAGCAAGUAAUAAUGAUAUGGUAGGAGAUACACACCAAACAGGAUGUGUUAAUUAUUAUAUAAAAAGUAUUGUGCAAUAGCAAGAAAUUUUCAAUUGCACAGUAUUGCACAAUAGCAAGAAAUCUUCAAUUGCACAGUAUUGCGCAAUAGCAAGAAAUCUUCAAUUGCACAGUAUUGCGCAAUAGCAAGAAAUAUCCAAUAGCACAAUAUUGCGCAAUAGCAAGAAAUUGUCAAUUGUACAGUAUUGCGCAAUAGCAAAAAAUAUUUAAUUGCACAGUAUUGUGCAAAAGAAGAUACUUCAUUUAAAUUGCUUAUUUCUUGACCAAUUUCAAUGGGGUUUUAUUCUUGAAUUCUUGGGGUUCUUUAAUAUGCUGAAUCUUACAGUGUAUUUAGUUUUUGGAUUUUGGGCCUCGUUUUUAAAUUGGUCCACAUUGAGGUCCAAAGGGUCCAAAAUUAAACUUUGUUUGAUUUCAUCAAAAAUUGAAUUAUUGGGGUUCUUUGAUAUGCCGAAUCUAACCGUGUAUUUAGAUUCUUAAUUUUUGGUUCCGUUUUCAAAUUGGUCUACAUUAAGGUCCAAAGGGUCCAAAAUUAAACUUAGUUUGAUUUUAAUAAAAAUUGAAUUCUUGGGUUCUUUGAUAUGCUAAAUCUAAACAUGUAUUUAGAUUUUUGAUUAUGGGCCCAGUUUUCAAGUUGGUCCAAAUCGGGGUCCAAAAUUAAACUUUGUUUGAUUUCAACAAAAAUUGAAUAUAUGGGGUUCUUUAGUAUGCUGAAUCUAACCAUGUAUUUAGAUUUUUGAUUUUUGGUUCCAUUUUCAAAUUGGUCUACAUUAAGGUCCAAAGGGUCCAAAAUUAAACUUAGUUUGAUUUUAACAAAAAUUGAAUUCUUAGGGUUCUUUGAUAUGCUGAAUCUAAACAUGUAUUUAGAUUUUUGAUUAUGGGCCCAGUUUUCAAGUUUGUCCAAAUCGGGGUCCAAAAUUAAACUUUGUUUGAUUUCAACACAAAUUGAAUAUAUGGGGUUCUUUGAUAUGCUGAAUCUAACCAUGUAUUUUGAUUUUUGGGCCCCGUUAUCAACUUUGUCCACAUUGAGGUCAAAAGGGUCCAAAAUUAAAGUUUGUCUGAUUUCAUCAAAAAUUGAAUUCUUGGGGUUCUUUGAUAUGCUGAAUCUAACCAUGUAUUUAGAUUUUGGAUAUUGGACCAUAAUAGGUGGAUGUCCAAUUUAAAAUUUUUAAGUUCUUAGACCACAUUCAUUCUGUGUCAGAAACCUAUGCUGUGUCAAAUAUUUAAUUACAAUCCAAAUGCAAAGCUGUAUCAAGCUUGAAUGUUGUGUCCAUACUUGCCCCAACUGUUCAGGGUUCGACCUCUGCGGUCGUAUCAAGCUGCGCCCAGCGGAGCAUUUUAUUAGACUUAUAUCUCGAAUUUGACAUGCACAGUCAUCUCAGUACCAGAAUCUAUGACAAACGAGACGAUUUUAAUUUUAAAAUUAUAAAUUUCCCCCACCUUAGUAGCAAUAUACACUACAAAAGUCUAAAAGUCUGAAAAGACCAGUUUUUGUCUUAAUUUGCAUGAACUUUUACUCGACAUUCUCCAAAAGUAUGACUUGUGUCUUAAUUUUUCUUGACAAAUUCUCAUUUAUAUUAAAUUUGUAUGAAAUUUACUCGACAUAUUCUCGACAUUCUGAAUAUGGUCUUAAAAUUUCUUGACAAAUUCUUGACAUUUGAAUACUGUCUUGAAAUUUCUCGACAUAUUCUCGACAUUCUUAAUUUUUCUCAGUAUGGCUUGACAUAUUCUGAACAUUUUGAAUUGUGUCUUAAAUUUACUUGACAGUUCUGAGUUUUACAAAUCAUGACCAAUAUUCAUGAUAUAACUUUAAUCUUUAUUUCUUUUUAUAUGAUAUACUGUUGUUUCAAGUUACACUUCUUUACAACAAAAAUAAAAGUUGGGCAUGUAAAAUAAUUGAAAAUUUGGGUAUAUAAAUAUUUUUACAAAUGCAAAUAUGGCUAUGAAAUCUAAAGUAUAAAAUAAUUCAAAUGUGGGUGUGUUGAUAUUAAACAAUUAAGAAUUUCAAUGUGGGUUUUUAAAUAAUUACAAAUUUUGAUUCCUAAAUCUUAUAAAUUAAAUGAUUCAAACCAAUCAUACUGUAGACAUAUUUCAUUCUACAUUCAUAAUAUUCAAUGUUGAUAUGGUAAAUAAUUAUUAUACCAAAAUGUGGUUUAUAUAAAUAGCAAAUUAUGAUGAUAUACAAAUCAUUCAUUUAACAGAAGAAAAAUUUGUGUAAUGUCAUCUGUUGGAAUAUAUUAAGUAUUACACAUGGACAGGAUGUUCCCCAUAAAAUUAAGGUAUUCCACACCCCAGAGUACACGCAACUGUCAAAUAGAAGUUAUUGCUUUACCUGUAAUCAGCCAUACAACUUAUCAGUUGACCGACCAUGCCACUACAAUUUAAAAAGUUUGUUGAUAGAUGAAAAUGAAAAUCAUCAUUUUGAUGAAAAAAAAUUGAAUUGAAAUGGAUUUUCUUCAUCAAAAUUAUGAAGUUAAUUAUUUUAACAAAAAAACAAAUUGAAUAAUUCCCAAAGAUUAAAAGAAAAUUAUUAUCUACUCCAGGAAUAAUAAAAAAAAUGUAUUUAUAAUGGGUCCCAUCAAUGAUUUAUAGAAAUCAUCGGUCUUAUGAAAUGGUUCUCAAACAGACAUGCAUAAUAUAGAUCUAAACAUUUUUUUCUUUUCAGGAAGGAGUUAUCACAAAUAUUUAUUUUUGAUAAAAAAUUAUAAAAUUCAACACUCAAAUUUGAAUAAAAAAUGUUUUUGGGUUCUAAAAAAUGAAUAAGGUUUUUGAAUCAAGAUGGGAACAAAUUCUUUGACCUAAACGAAAGCCCCCCCCCCCUUUUUUUUUAGCCACACAAACCCAAAAGAUGAAUUGUGGGGUCCAAAAGAGAUACAAGACACCUAUUUUAGUAAAGCAAAUUUGACGGGCAGUUUUGCGAAUGGCAAAAAUCUAAAUGCUGUUUGUCAAUACCUUCGACUUAUAUUCCAAGUGAAAACAAUAACUUAAAUGUUUAAUAAAAAUAAAUCAAAAUUAAACUACAUGGGGGAUUAUUCAGGGUAUUCCAACUUAGUUGCACCAAAAGGGUAUCUUACUUUACCAAAUUAAUCCUUGAUUCUUCAAAGUUUAGUUUAGCCAUAAUAAAAAGGAGUAUAUAACAGCAAUUGAAUGUCAUAAACAGUGCAGAAUAAGUCUGUUCACAUUUCAGGCGAAAUUUAUACUGUUGAGAUAGUGUCAAGACAUAUUUAAGACUGUCAAGAAUGUGUCGAGACAUUAUUUAGAAUGUCAAGAAUAUGUCGAGACAUAUUCAGACAUUAUUAAGAAUGUCAAGAAUAUGUCAAGACAGAUCGAGACAAAUUUAAGACAGUCAAGAAUUGGUCGAGACUAAUCCAGACUCUUAUCAGAUGAUACAGGAAGUGUCGAGAAAUUUUAAGACAAUGUUCAUACUGUCAAGGCACUUGUCAAGAAAAAUCAAGAACCUUAUUAGACAAAUUCAUACUAUGUCAAGAAUUUUUAAAAAUUAUUCAGACAAAUUAAGAAUGUCGAGUAAAAAUUCAUGCAAAUUCAGACAAAAACUGGUCUUUUCAGACUUUUUGACUUUUGUAGUGAUACCAACUUCACCUGCAUAUGGGAUAUACAUUUCCCAACUUAUUCGAUAUUCAAGAGCUUGCAGCUCCUACUCAGACUUUGUAAAACGUCACCAGUGUCUGAGCAGAAAGUUGAUGAACCAGGGGUAUGUCAAAGAACGUCUCGUCCUUUUUCUAAAAAAGUUCAUCGGAAGGUACCAAGACCUUGUUGAUAAAUAUUCCGUAUCAACUUUACAAAUAAUACAUGAUGGUCUUGAAGUAUAGAUUCUGCAUACUGACGUUGUUUGUCAUCUUAACAACGUGUUAUAUUGUUCUUUCAUUUGUCUUUGUUCUAUUAUUAAUAUUACUUUAACUGUUUGGUUUGUUUUCUGUGAUAUCCAUUUGACGUGGCUAGGUACUUAUACAUCCCGUCAAUGUGUUUGUAUUAUCUUUCAUUUUUGAUUGUGUGUUUUGUAUAUGCGACUUUUUGUGUUUCUGUGGUUCUUAUAACGUGACUCUGUACUUUAAAAGAUCCCGUCAUUAUGUUAUUGUUCUAUUAUAUGUCAUUAUGUUAUUCUUCUAUUAUAAAUUUGAAAAUACUUUGAACGACAAAUUUAUUUUAUUCGCGUAGUGGUAUUACUAAAGAACUUCUGGACAAUUUUAAAUCUCUUGUCUAUUUCUGAAAUUAGUUCUAACAUAACUUUUGAUUUUUGUCGAGCCUGCGACUUUUGUCGCAGAAAGCUCGACAUAGGGAUAGUGAACCGGCGGCGGCGGCAUUAGCUAACUUCUUGAAAGCUUUAUAUUUUAGAGGGUGGAAGACCUGGAUGCUUCAUACUUUGUAUAUGGAUGCCUCAUGUUACGAAGUUUCCGUCAGUCACAUGUCCAAUGUCCUUGACCUCAUUUUCAUGGUUCAGUGACUACUUGAAAAAAAAGUUAAGAUUUUUUGUAAUGUUAAAUUCUCUCUUAUAAGUAAUUGGAUAACUAUAUUUGGUAUGUGCGUACCUUGCAAGGUCCUCAUGCCCGUCAGACAGUUUUCACUUGACCUCGACCUCAUUUCAUGGAUCAGUGAACAAGGUUAAGUUUUCGUGGUCAAGUCCAUAUCUCAAGAUACUAUAAGCAAUAGGUCUAGUAUAUUCGGUGUAUGGAAGAACUGUAAGGUGUACAUGUCCACCUGGCAGGUGUCAUCUGACCUUGACCUCAUUUUCAUGGUUCAGUGGUUAUAGUUGAGUUUUUGUGUUUUGGUCUGUUUUUCUUAUACUGUAUGCAAUAGGUCUACUAUAUUUGGUGUAUGGAAGGAUUGUAAGGUGUACAUGUCUAGCUGGCAGGUGUCAUCUGACCUUGACCUCAUUUUCAUGGUUCAGUGGUUAUAGUUCAGUUUUUAUACGACCGCAAAAAAAUGUGGUCGUAUAUUGGUAUGACGUUGGCGUCGUCGUCGUCCGAAGACACAUUAGUUUUCGCACUCUAACUUUAGUUUAAGUGAAUGGAUCUCUAUGAAAUUUUACCAUAAGGUGCAAUACCACAAAAGGAAGGUGGGGAUUGAUUUUGGGGGUUAUGGUACCAACAGUUAAGGAAUUAGGGGCCAAAAAUAAGCAUUUUUGUAACUUCCAGACAUAACUUGUGUGUUAGUGUAUGGAUCUCUCUGACAUUGUACCACAAGGUUCCAUAUCACAAAGGGAAUGCUGGGAUUGAUUUUGGGGGUAAUUGCCUCCAAAUUUUAGGAAUUGGGGGCCAAAAAGGGGAAAAAAACAAGCAUUUUUCUAGUUUCAUGACAAUAACUUGUGUGUGAGUGUAUGGAUCUCUCUGACAUUGUACCACAAGGUUCCAUAUCACAAAGGGAAUGCUGGGAUUGAUUUUGGGGGUAAUUGCCUCCAAAUUUUAGGAAUUGGGGGCCAAAAAGGGGCAAAAAACAAGCAUUUUUUUUGUUUCAUGACAAUAACUUGUGUGUAAGUGUAUGGAUCUUUAUGAAAUUGUACUACAAGGUUCCAUAUCACAAAGGGAAAGCUGGAAUUGAUUUUGGGGGUAAUUGCCCACAACAUUUAGGAAUAAGGGGCCAAAAAUAAGCAUUUUUCUAGUUUCAACUUGUGUUCAAGUGUAUGGAUCUCUCUGAAAUUGUACUGCAAGGUACCAAACCACAAAGGGAAGGCUGGGAUUGAUUUUGGGGUUAAUUGCCUCCAAAUUUUAGGAAUUGGGGGCCAAAAAGGGGCAAAAAACAAGCAUUUUUCUAGUUUCAGGACAAUAACUUGUGUGUAAGUGUAUGGAUCUUUAUGAAAUUGUACUGCAAGGUUCCAUAUCACAAAGGGAAAGCUGGGUUUGAGUUUGGGGGUAAUUGCCCUAAAUGUUUAGGAAUUUGGGGCCAAAAAACAAGCAUUUUUCUUGUUUCCAGACAAUAACUUGUGUUCAAGUGUAUGGAUCUCUCUGAAAUUGUACAGUUCAUACAUGUGAACCUCCCGACGGGAGUACAAUAAUCCCGUUUUCAGGGGUCUCCUCCCGACCUCCCGUUGAAGACAAAAAAAUCCCGUGUAUGAAAUAUUUCAUGAAUGAAAAAUUUCAGCCCAACAUAUCUGGUGUAACUGACAUUACUGAAGUUAUAUUUUACCUGUAAAUCAAUUAACAUGCAUAAUUAUAUGGCCUCACUUGUCACCUUGGGUGUCAAACAUACUGGUAAUAAACGAUUUUUACCUCAGGCUAACUGCCGUUGUGUAAUAAAACUUUGUUUAUUUAAAAUGAAUGUUGGGUUACUUCCCUUGAUUUAUCCUGUUUUAAGUUACUUUCCUUUAAAUAAUGUAAAUUUUUAAAAGAAUAUAAAUAAAAUAUAAAUUGAACAAAUAAUCAUAAAAGGAUGGUAAUUAAAUGAUUUUAAAUUUUUUAGGACAAAUAAAAAAAUAAUAAUUUGAAAUUAUUUGAGGGUUCUAGACUUCCUUUCAAGGCUUAAAUUGAAAUUUAUAUUAUAACUAUGACCCAUGAUGACAGUUGGAAUGUGUUACUUAACAUGCAUUAAAAAUCUACUUGCAUAUAAAGAUAAAAUAAAAAAAAAUCUACUAGCAUAAAGAUAAAAUUAAAAGAUCUACUUGCAGAUAGAUAAGCAAAUGUUCUGAUUGCAAUGAAUAAUGGUAAAAAAGAUAUGACCUAAAAAAUUUAAAGAACAUACUGAAAAAGAAGAAUGUUAGAUUGAACAAGUUGAAAGUUUAAAAAGAUAGAGAAAAUUUAUAAGUACAAAGGUACUAUAAACAUAAUACAUUCGGAUGGAAAGUUGAAGAAAACACACUUUAACAGACAAUUUCUACAGCACACGGUUACAUUUACGACAGAAUUUAUGUCGAUUAAAAACAUCCUGAUCUGAGUCAUAAUCUCCAAAACUCCUGAUUUUAGUUUCACAGUCCAUCACAUGUAUGUGUACUGCAAGGUACCAUACCACAAAGGGAAGGCUGGGAUUGAGUUUGGGGGUGAUGAAUCAUAAGGGGGUUCAAAAAAUUUUUUUGGGGGGGGAUUUUUUUUUCUUUAAAAUUUUCCAUUUUAAAUUGGUUAUUUCUGAUUUAUAUAUAAAAGCAAAUAAUAAUGAUAUGGUUUGAAUAGAUAAAUUAAAAAAAUUUAAGUUCUUAGACCAAAUUUAUUCUGUGUCAGAAACCUAUGCUGUGUCAAAUAUUUAAUUACAAUCCAAAUUCAGUACUGUAUCAAGCUUGAAUGUUGUGUCCAUACUUGCCCCAACUGUUCAGGGUUCGACCUCUGCGGUCGUAUCAAGCUGCGCCCCAGCGGAGCAUUUUAUUGUGUUUUGGUCUGUUUUUCUUAUACUGUAUGCAAUAGGUCUACUAUAUUUGGUGUAUGGAAGGAUUGUAAGGUGUACAUGUCUAGCUGGCAGGUGUCAUCUGACCUUGACCUCAUUUUCAUGGUUCAGUGAUCAAAAUUAAGUUUUUGAGAUUUGAUCUUUUUUCUAAUACUAUAUGCAAUAGUUCAACUACAUUUGGUGUAUGGAAAUAUUUUAUGAUCUAUAUGUCAGUCACGCAGGUUUUAUUUGACCUUGACCUCAUUUUCAAGGUUCAUUGCUCAGUGUUAAGUUUUUGUGUUUUGGUCUGUUUUUCUUAAACUAUAAGCAAUAGGUCAACCAUAUUUGUUGUAUGGAAGAAUUGUUAGCUGUACAUGCCUGCCUAGCAUGGUUCAUCUGACCUUGACCUCAUUUUCAUGGUUCAUUGGUCAAUGUUUAGUUUACUUGGUUAAUGUUAAGUUUAUGUGACAGUUGUAAUAAAGCUUUAUAUUUAGGACUAUCAACAUAAUAUCAAUGAUUAGUAAAGGCGAGACAUUUCAGCGUGUGCACUCUUGUUUAACCCUGUAUACCAACAUUCCCCAUGUGAAAUUAUAAAAUUGUUUUGAAUAAACAUUGAAUGACAAAAUUUCUUCUAAUGUGACGUUUACAUUUUCUGACGUCAGACACGCGAAGCAAUGAAUGUGGUUUUUAUACGACCGCAAAAAUUGAAAAUUUUUUGGUCAUAUAUUGGUAUGACGUUGGCGUCGUCGUCGUCGUCGUCGUCGUCGUCGUCCGGCGUCGUCCGAAGACACAUUGGUUUUCGCACUCUAACUUUAGUUUAAGUGAAUGGAUCUCCAUGAAAUUUUACCAUAAGGUUCAAUACCACGAAAGGAAGGUUGGGAUUGAUUUUGGGGGUUAUGGUACCAACAGUUAAGGAAUUAGGGGCCAAAAAUAAGCAUUUUUGUAACUUCCAGACAAUAACUUGUGUGUAAGUGUAUGGAUCUCUCUGACAUUGUACCACAAGGUUCCAUAUCACAAAGGGAAGGCUGUAAUUGAUUUUGGGGGUAAUUGCCUCAAAAUUUUAGGAAUUAGGGGCCAAAAAAGGGGCAAAAAACAAGCAUUUUUCUAGUUUCAUGACAAUAACUUGUGUGUAAGUGUUUGGAUAUUUCUGAAAUUGUACUACAAGGUUCCAUAUCACAAAGGGAAAGCUGGAAUUGAGUUUGUGGGUAAUUGCCCGAAACGUUUAGGAAUAGGGGGCCAAAAAAGGGGCCAAAAAUAAGCAUUUUUCUAGUUUCCAGACAAUAACUUGUGUUCAAGUGUAUGGAUCUCUCUGAAAUUGUACUGCAAGGUACCAUACCACAAAGGGAAGGCUGGUAUUGAGUUUGGGGGUGAUGAAUCAUAAGGGGGUUCAAAAAAUUUGGGGGGGGGGAUUUUUUUUUUUCUUUUUUUUUUCUUUUUUUCCUUUUUUUUUUCUUUUAAAAAUUUUCCAUUUUAAGUUGGUUAUUUCUGAUUAAUAUUUAAAAGCAAAUAAUAAUGAUAUGGUAGGAGAUACACACCAAACAGGAUGUGUAAAUUAUUAUAUAAUAAGUAUUGUGCAAUAGCAAGAAAUUUUCAAUUGCACAGUAUUGCACAAUUGCAAGAAAUCUUCAAUUGCACAGUAUUGCGCAAUAGCAAGAAAUCUUCAAUUGCACAGUAUUGCGCAAUAGCAAGAAAUAUCCAAUAGCACAAUAUUGCGCAAUAGCAAGAAAUUGUCAAUUGUACAGUAUUGCACAAUAGCAAGAAAUAUUCAAUUGCACAGUAUUGUGCAAAAAAAGAUACUUCGUAUAAAUUGCUUAUUUCUUGAUCAAUUUCAAUGGGGUUUAUUCUUGAAUUCUUGGGGUUCUUUAAUAUGCUGAAUCUAACCAAGUAUUAAGUUUUUGGAUUUUGGGCCCCGUUUUUAAAUUGGUCCACAUUGAGGUCCAAAGGGUCCAAAAUUUAACUUUGUUUGAUUUCAUCAAAAAUUGAAUUAUUGGGGUUCUUUGAUAUGCCGAAUCUAACCGUGUAUUUAGAUUCUUAAUUUUUGGUUCCGUUUUCAAAUUGGUCUACAUUAAGGUCAAAAGGGUCCAAAAUUAAACUUAGUUUGAUUUUAACAAAAAUUUAAUUUUUAGGGUUCUUUGAUAUGCUGAAUCUAAACAUGUAUUUAGAUUUUUGAUUAUGGGCCCAGUUUUCAAGUUGGUCCAAAUCGGGGUCCAAAAUUAAACUUUGUUUGAUUUCAACAAAAAUUGAAUAUAUGGGGUUCUUUGAUAUGCUGAAUCUAACCAUGUAUUUAGAUUUUUGAUUUUUGGGCCCCGUUAUCAACUUUGUCCACAUUGAGGUCAAAAGGGUCCAAAAUUAAACUUUGUUUGAUUUCAUCAAAAAUUGAAUUCUUGGGGUUCUUUGAUAUGCUGAAUCUAACCAUGUAUUUAGAUUUUUUAUUUGUGGACCCGCUAUCAAAUUGGUUCAUAUUGAGGUCAAAAGGGUCCAAAAUUAAACUUUGUUUGAUUUCAUCAAAAAUUGAAUUAUUGGGGUUCUUUGAUAUGCCAAAUCUAACCGUGUAUUUAGAUUUUUAAUUUUGGGUCCCGUUUUUAAAUUGGUCUACAUUAAGGUCCAGAGGGUCCAAAAUUAAACUUAGUUUGAUUUUAACAAAAAUUGAAUUCUUGGGGUUCUUUGAUAUGCUGAAUCUAAACAUGUGUUUAGAUUUUUGAUUAUGGGCCCAGUUUUCAAGUUGGUCCAAGUUGGGGUCCAAAAUUAAACUUUGUUUGAUUUCAACAAAAA